CGUUAUUACCCCUGGUACUGGCUGAACUUUGACCCCAGUCGUACCGUCAGUAAUAACGGA
rnacentral:pre_miRNA from 1 species